rnacentral:misc_RNA from 1 species
ACAAAUCCAUAUUUUAUGCCGCAAGGCGUAGAUAUAAAUUCGCUUGGCUGGCGCAAGCUGCCAAGUUGAAAAAGAUUAUGUAUGUGCUGUUGUCGCGAGAUGACGGUGCGUAAAUAAGUGUAUGUUGUGUAGACAAGUGUGUGUAAAAACAAAAAUUAAUUGA